CCUACGGGGUGCAGCAGUGGGGAAUAUUGGACAAUGGGCGAAAGCCUGAUCCAGCCAUGCCGCGUGUGUGAAGAAGGCCUUCGGGUUGUAAAGCACUUUCAGUGGGGAAGAAAGCCUUGGGGCUAAUACCCUCGAGGAAGGACAUCACCCACAGAAGAAGCACCGGCUAACUCCGUGCCAGCAGCCGCGGUAAUACGGAGGGUGCGAGCGUUAAUCGGAAUUACUGGGCGUAAAGCGCGCGUAGGCGGUCUGAUAAGCCGGUUGUGAAAGCCCCGGGCUCAACCUGGGAACGGCAUCCGGAACUGUCAGGCUAGAGUGCAGGAGAGGAAGAUAGAAUUCCCGGUGUAGCGGUGAAAUGCGUAGAGAUCGGGAGGAAUACCAGUGGCGAAGGCGGCCUUCUGGACUGACACUGACGCUGAGGUGCGAAAGCGUGGGUAGCAAACAGGAUUAGAUACCCGAGUAGUC
rnacentral:rRNA from 1 species